rnacentral:rRNA from 1 species
ACCAGACUCCUACGGGAGGCAGCAGUGAGGAAUAUUGGUCAAUGGGCGGGAGCCUGAACCAGCCAUGCCGCGUGAAGGCGAGUGCCCGACGGGCGUUAAACUUCUUUUGUGCGGGAGCAAUAAGGGCCACGCGUGGCCCGAUGAGAGUACCGCACGAAUAAGCAUCGGCUAACUCCGUGCCAGCAGCCGCGGUAAUACGGGGGAUGCGAGCGUUAUCCGGAUUUACUGGGUGUAAAGGGAGCGCAGGCGGCACGGCAAGCCUGAUGUGAAAGCCCGCGGCCCAACCGCGGGACUGCAUUGGGAACUACCGGGCUGGAGUGCCGGAGAGGUAGGCGGAAUUCCUAGUGUAGCGGUGAAAUGCGUAGAUAUUAGGAGGAACACCAGUGGCGAAGGCGGCCUACUGGACGGUGACUGACGCUGAGGCUCGAAAGCGUGGGGAGCAAACAGGAUUAGAUACCCGGGUAC